rnacentral:rRNA from 1 species
UACGUAGGGGGCAAGCGUUGUCCGGAUUUAUUGGGCGUAAAGAGCUCGUAGGCGGCUUAGUAAGUCGGGUGUGAAACCUCCAGGCUCAACCUGGAGACGCCACCCGAUACUGCUGUGGCUAGAGUCCGGUAGGGGAGCGUGGAAUUCCUGGUGUAGCGGUGAGAUGCGCAGAUAUCAGGAGGAACACCGGUGGCGAAGGCGGGUCUCUGGGCAACAACUGACGCUGAGGAGCGAAAGCGUGGGGAGCGAACAGG